UACGUAGGGAGCAAGCGUUGUCCGGAAUCAUUGGGCGUAAAGCGCGCGUAGGUGGCUUCGUAAGUCCGUUGUGAAAGUCAAAGGCUCAACCUUUGAAAGCCGAUGGAUACUGCGGAGCUAGAGUACGGAAGAGGCGAGUGGAAUUCCUGGUGUAGCGGUGGAAUGCGCAGAUAUCAGGAGGAACACCAUAGACGAAGGCAGCUCGCUGGGC
rnacentral:rRNA from 1 species